UAUAAUAUGAUAUUAUCAUCAUCAUAAAUUGAAAUCACACAAACGCUAGACUCCUAUCAGUAAAUCAUUGUAAGAUUCUAUAUACAUAAUGAAAGAUGUUUUAGAAUGACAAUAUUAGAUCAUAUCUGUAUUUCUUAGAUUGUGAAACAUUAUUCAUUAAUUUGUAUGUUUAUUUUUUUUAUUUCUAGAUGAAACAGUUCUAAAAUUAAAAGAGCACAAAUUGUUACAAUUAGCAAAGAAAUACAUGGAUUAUUUGGAAGAAUUUACUCCAGUUACUGCCUUCUGUGAAGCUAAAAUUGAUGAAAACAGAGGUUAUUUUGUGCAUUUUUAUCGUAAAGGGAAUAAAUAAAAACAUAAUUCCUUUUUUUUCCUUUUUUUUAAACUAAUAAUUGUAAUUUAUUUUCUAAGAAAAUAUGUCCUUAAAUCCUAAAAGACACAAACCAUAAUAUUAUAAUAAACGGCAUGAUUUUUCCAUCUGCACUACUAUAAUAAUAUAUUGUAAUUUAUAACACCAUUUUUCUUAAUCCCUUUAUAUUAUUUAAUACCUAUAUUACUAUUAGUAUUACUAUUUUAAAUGUAUUUCUUCAUAUAUCCAAAUUUAUAUAAUAUGUACGUAUUGAUUAAUAUUUAAUAUACUGUGUCAAACACUAACCUUUGUAUGUUACGUUUCUUGCUAAUAAUCAAUAAUCAAUAUAGUUGUUAUCUAUCUA